rnacentral:rRNA from 1 species
GACGAACGCUGGCGGCGUGCUUAACACAUGCAAGUCGAACGGAAAGGCCCCUUUGGGGGUACUCGAGUGGCGAACGGGUGCGUAACACGUGAGUAACCUGCCCUUGCCUUCGGGAUAACUUCAGGAAACUGGGGCCAAUACCGGAUAGGAAUCCUUGCUGCAUGGUGGGGGUUGGAAAGCUUCGGGGGUUUUGGCUGGACUCGCGGCUUAUCAGCUUGUUGGUGGGGUAGUGGCUUACCAAGGCUUUGACGGGUAGCCGGCCUGAGAGGGCGACCGGCCACAUUGAGACUGAGGUGCGGCCCAGACUCCGACGGGAGGGAGAAGGGGGGAAGAUUGCACGAUGGGCGGAAGCCGAAUGCAGCAACGCCGCGGGCGGGAUGACGGCCUUCGGGUUGUAAAACGCUUUCAGCAGGGGCGAAGCUUGUGGUGACGGUACCUGCAGAAGAAGCACCGGCUAACUACGUG